UACGAGGGGGGCAAGCGUUGUUCGGAAUUAUUGGGCGUAAAGGGUGCGUAGGCGGUUUGAUAAGUCAUCUGCGAAAUCUCUGGGCUCAACCCAGAGUCUGCAGGCGAAACUGUCGGGCUUGAGUAUGGGAGAGGUGAGUGGAAUUUCCGGUGUAGCGGUGAAAUGCGUAGAGAUGUGGAGGAACACCAGUGGCGAAGGCGGCUUUCUG
rnacentral:rRNA from 1 species